UAGUCCGCACGAGCGCACCCACAGUCUUCAGUUGCCAGCAGUUCGGCUGGGCACUCUGGAGAAACUGCCCGUGAUAAGCGGGAGGAAGGUGUGGAUGACGUCAAGUCCUCAUGGCCCUUACGGGUUGGGCUACACACGUGCUACAAUGGUGGUGACAGUGGGUUAAUCCCCAAAAGCCAUCUCAGUUCGGAUUGGGGUCUGCAACUCGACCCCAUGAAGUCGGAAUCGCUAGUAAUCGCGUAACAGCAUGACGCGGUGAAUACGUUCCCGGGCCUU
rnacentral:rRNA from 1 species